UACGGGGGGGGCGGAAGCGUUGUUCGGAAUUACUGGGCGUAAAGGGCUCGUAGGCGGCCAACUAAGUCGGACGUGAAAUCCCUCAGCUUAACUGGGGAACUGCGUCCGAUACUGGAUGGCUUGGAUUUGGGAGAGGGAUGCGGAAUUCCAGGUGUAGCGGUGAAAUGCGUAGAUAUCUGGAGGAACACCGGUGGCGAAGGCGGCAUCCUGGACCGGCAUUGACGCUGAGGCGCGAAAGCCAGGGGAGCAAACGGG
rnacentral:rRNA from 1 species